GAUGAACGCUGGCGGCGUGCCUAAUACAUGCAAGUCGAGCGAACGGACGAGAAGCUUGCUUUUCUGAUGUUAGCGGCGGACGGGUGAGUAACACGUGGAUAACCUACCUAUAAGACUGGGAUAACUUCGGGAAACCGGAGCUAAUACCGGAUAAUAUUUUGAACCGCAUGGUUCAAAAGUGAAAGACGGUCUUGCUGUCACUUAUAGAUGGAUCCGCGCUGCAUUAGCUAGUUGGCAAGGUAACGGCUUACCAAGGCAACGAUGCAUAGCCGACCUGAGAGGGUGAUCGGCCACACUGGAACUGGGCCACGGUCCGGACUCCUACGGGAGGCAGCAGAAGGGAAUCUUCCGCAAUGGGCGAAAGCCUGACGGAGCAACGCCGCGUGAGUGAUGAAGGUCUUCGGAUCUUAAAACUCUUUUAUCGGGGAAGAACAGAUGUGUAAGUAACUGUGCACAUCUUGACGGUACCUAAUCAGAAAGCCACGGCUAACUACGUG
rnacentral:rRNA from 1 species